rnacentral:tRNA from 1 species
GGCCCGUUGGUCAAGUGGUUAAGACACCGCCCUUUCACGGCGAUAACAGGGGUUCGACUCCCCUACGGGUCA